rfam:Schistosoma mattheei strain Denwood, Zambia genome assembly, scaffold: SMTD_scaffold0000032
AUCCAGCUGACGAGUCUCAAAUGGGACGAAACGCGCGUCCUGGAU